GACGAACCGUGCGAACGUUAUUCGGAAUCACUGGGCUUAAAGUGUUCGUAGCCGGCCGUGUAAGUCUGCUGUGAAAUCCAAGCGCUCAACGUUUGGAAGCGCAGCGGAUACUGCAUGGCUAGGGACCGGAUGGCGUCGAGGCUAUUCCAGGGGUAGGAGUGAAAUCCAAAAAUCCCUGGAGGAGCACCUGUGGCGAAAGCGCUCGACGAAUACGGAUCCGACGGUGAGGAACGAAAGCCAGGGGAGCAAAGGGG
rnacentral:rRNA from 1 species